rnacentral:ncRNA from 1 species
UUUUUACACAGGCAUUUAUUGCGCUGUAUACGUGGGUAGCUGAAUUAACGUUUAAGCGGCGUAUUCCGUCGCCAGCCCCACGGUUAGGAAGGCCGCGUUUAGCGGCUUUUCCUAUAGUUAG